UGUACAGAAGUUUCUGGAGUGGAGCGAUUG
rnacentral:piRNA from 1 species